ACUGACUAUGGAUCGGCAGCCAGUUGAGGGGCAUCGGGUGGAAACUCGGGGCCCCUCCGACAGUCAGUCGGGCACGUUGCAAGAGUCGGGCAUCGGACUCCAUAGUGCAGUCGGUCGGGAGAGAGGAGAGGGUCUGUCCGACCGACGUAUCCUCGAUUGGUCGGUAAUGGCAACCGUCGAUCAGUCGGCAGAGUCGGGCACCGGUCAUGUAGGCCCGACGAUGAGUCGACGUGAGUGGGGCCGGUCGGUAUUCCCCAACAGUUGCCUCCCUCCACUCCUG
rnacentral:lncRNA from 1 species